GCGGCGUGCUUAACACAUGCAAGUCGAACGGAAAGGCCCUGCUUUUGUGGGGUGCUCGAGUGGCGAACGGGUGAGUAACACGUGAGUAACCUGCCCUUGACUUUGGGAUAACUUCAGGAAACUGGGGCUAAUACCGGAUAGGAGCUCCUGCUGCAUGGUGGGGGUUGGAAAGUUUCGGCGGUUGGGGAUGGACUCGCGGCUUAUCAGCUUGUUGGUGGGGUAGUGGCUUACCAAGGCUUUGACGGGUAGCCGGCCUGAGAGGGUGACCGGCCACAUUGGGACUGAGAUACGGCCCAGACUCCUACGGGAGGCAGCAGUGGGGAAUAUUGCACAAUGGGCGGAAGCCUGAUGCAGCAACGCCGCGUGCGGGAUGACGGCCUUCGGGUUGUAAACCGCUUUCGCCUGUGACGAAGCGUGAGUGACGGUAAUGGGUAAAGAAGCACCGGCUAACUACGUGCCAGCAGCCGCGGUGAUACGUAGGGUGCGAGCGUUGUCCGGAUUUAUUGGGCGUAAAGGGCUCGUAGGUGGUUGAUCGCGUCGGAAGUGUAAUCUUGGGGCUUAACCCUGAGCGUGCUUUCGAUACGGGUUGACUUGAGGAAGGUAGGGGAGAAUGGAAUUCCUGGUGGAGCGGUGGAAUGCGCAGAUAUCAGGAGGAACACCAGUGGCGAAGGCGGUUCUCUGGGCCUUUCCUGACGCUGAGGAGCGAAAGCGUGGGGAGCGAACAGGCUUAGAUACCCUGGUAGUCCACGCUGUAAACGGUGGGUACUAGGUGUGGGGUCCAUUCCACGGGUUCCGUGCCGUAGCUAACGCUUUAAGUACCCCGCCUGGGGAGUACGGCCGCAAGGCUAAAACUCAAAGGAAUUGGCGGGGCCCCGCACAAGCGGCGGAGCAUGCGGAUUAAUUCGAUGCAACGCGUAGAACCUUACCUGGGUUUGACAUGGAUCGGGAGUGCUCAGAGAUGGGUGUGCCUCUUUUGGGGUCGGUUCACAGGUGGUGCAUGGCUGUCGUCAGCUCGUGUCGUGAGAUGUUGGGUUAAGUCCCGCAACGAGCGCAACCCUUGUUCACUGUUGCCAGCACGUUAUGGUGGGGACUCAGUGGAGACCGCCGGGGUCAACUCGGAGGAAGGUGGGGAUGACGUCAAGUCAUCAUGCCCCUUAUGUCCAGGGCUUCACGCAUGCUACAAUGGCUGGUACAGAGAGUGGCGAGCCUGUGAGGGUGAGCGAAUCUCGGAAAGCCGGUCUCAGUUCGGAUUGGGGUCUGCAACUCGACCUCAUGAAGUCGGAGUCGCUAGUAAUCGCAGAUCAGCAACGCUGCGGUGAAUACGUUCCCGGGGCUUGUACACACCGCCCGUCAAGUCAUGAAAGUUGGUAACACCCGAAGCCGGUGGCCUAACCGUUGUGGGGGAGCCGUCGAAGGUGGGACUGGUGAUUAGGACUAA
rnacentral:rRNA from 1 species